AGGGAUCAGCGUGGUCUGAAACAGACAGAGUCACACACACUGAGAGAGAGAGAAUUAUUAGCUCUGUCUAAACCUCUCUUUAAAUGUUUUUCUUGGUCACACACACACACUGGACUCUGUCAUCAGAAGUGAUGUCUGCAAUUUGUGAUUUCUGGAAAUGGAUGACAUUUAAAGGAACCAAAAUAACAGACUGAAGAAGAACCAGAACCACAGAGCAGAAUAUCAACUUUGACAUCAACUUGGACCUUUAAGCAACCACCCAAAACAAUAUAGUAUUUCAUUUUGCACAGGAAUUGUGGAGCCCCAUGCCAUGUGUCAGAAGAGAAGAAGGAGGGAGAGAGAACGAGUGGGCUUUCUGAAAUCACCUUCUCCUGUAACCUGUCAUCCGUUACACCAGAGCAGCUAGUCUCAUUCUGCUCUUAUAUUCACGUCUCUGUUUAACUUGCCUAAAGGAAUAAUUCACCAAAAAUGAAAAUUCUGUCAUAAUUUAUUCACUCUUAUGUCUUUACAAACCUGUGUGACUUUCUU